rnacentral:rRNA from 1 species
UGCCAGCCGCCGCGGUAAUACGGAGGGUGCAAGCGUUAAUCGGAAUUACUGGGCGUAAAGCGUGCGUAGGCGGCUACUUAAGUGGGAUGUGAAAGCCCCGGGCUCAACCUGGGAACUGCACCCCAAACUGGGUAGCUAGAGUACAGCAGAGGAGUGUGGAAUUUCCUGUGUAGCGGUGAAAUGCGUAGAUAUAGGAAGGAACACCAGUGGCGAAGGCGACACUCUGGGCUGAUACUGACGCUGAGGUACGAAAGCGUGGGGAGCAAACAGGAUUAGAUA